GGCCCUUCACGCGUCAAAGCCUCGAGAGCAGAGACUGCAGAACUGAACAUCCCAACCCAAGUCCCGAACCCUCCCUCACCACUCCCCCGAUCUCCGCCACUCCAAAAUGUGGCGCCGCCACCACCUCCUCCGGCUACUUCCGCCUCCGGCCACCGCCGCUACCGCCGCGGCCCCUUCCCACUUCCUGCGCUACCUCUCUACCUCAAGCACCCCGACCCCGGCCGCCUCCCUGGCCUCGUCCCUCGCGUCGGCGCUCACUGCGCUCUCCACGACCCCGCCCCCCGCCACCACCCCGGACGCUUACUUCUCCCUCCACUUCUCCGACGUGCGGCCUACCAACGCGCUCCUCGCCGAGGCGCUCGCGCUCUCCCCGCCCGCCACCUCCCGCGCCGCUGCCGAUCUCUUCCGCUUCCUCGUCCGCCGCCGCUCGCUCCACCCCUCCGACGGCGCGCUCGCGCCCAUCGUUCGCCACCUCGCCCGCCGCCGCGACUUCCCCGCCGUGCGCGCGCUCAUCCAGGAGUUUCCAACCGCUCUCGGGCCCACCACGCUCGACGCCUAUCUCCAGCAGCUCACCAGAGCCGGGCGCCCAACGGACGCUGUCAAGGUGUUCGACGAAUUGCCGGAGCAGCUCCGUAACCGCGAGGCUCUCACUUUGCUGGUCUCCUCGCUUUCUUCCGAGGGAUUCCCCUCGCACGCAGAGCGAGCUGCCAAGAAGGUCGCCAGUGAGAUCUUCCCAGAUGAUAAUAUCUGCACUUUGCUUGUAUCUGGUUAUGCCAAUGCUGGUAAGCUCGACCAUGCGCUAAGGUUGAUUGGUGAGACACGUAGAGGUGGGUUCCAUCCAGGAUUGGAUGCGUAUAAUGCUGUUCUUGAUUGUGUCUGCCGGCUCUGUCGCAAGAAGGAUCCACUGAGGAUGCCAAUAGAAGCGGAGAAGUUCUUAGUUGACAUGGAAGCAAAUGGGAUUCCUCGUGAUGCAGGCACAUUUCGGGUUCUGAUCACAAAUUUUUGCAAGAUCCGCAAGACAGGGGAUGCCAUGAAUCUGUUCCAGCGUAUGGGUGAGUGGGGCUGCUCACCGGAUGCUGACACGUACUUGGUGCUCAUUAGGAGCUUGUACCAAGCUGCCCGAACUUCAGAGGGGGAUGAAAUGAUAACGUGGAUGCGGUCUGCAGGAUUUGGAGAUAAACUUGAUAGGAAGGCAUAUUAUGGAUUCAUCAAGAUUUUAUGUGGGAUUGAGAGGGUUGAGCAUGCUGUCAAGGUAUUCCGUAUGAUGAAAGGUUAUGGGCAUGCUCCUGGAGUAAAAUCAUAUACCUUGCUCAUUGAGAAGCUGGCCAGACACAAUUUAGGGGAUCGUUCUAAUGCACUUUUCAGGGAGGCAGUUGCACGUGGUGUACCUGUGGCACAAGGAGAGUACAAUGUUGACAAAAGGUAUGUCAAGACAAAGAAGGAGAAGACGGUGAAGAAGAGGCUGACUUUGCCAGAGAAGAUGAGAUUGAAGAGCAAGAGGUUAUACAAGCUCAGAAUGAGCUUUGUCAAGAAGCCCAAGCGUCGAAUGCUCCGGGUUUAAGCAUAAUUUUGGUUCGGUCUGCUGCAGAAUAACUUCAUGGGAACACAGCAGUUUGGUUGGAGCGGAUGAUCAUGGGAGCGGACACCACCAGAUCCAGUUAUACUCCCUCCGUUUCUUUUUAUUAGUCGCUGGAUAGUGUAAUUUUACACUAUCCAGCGACUAAUAAAAAGAAACGGAGGGAGUAUCUCGGAAGAUCAGAAAAUUAUAGUCCCUUAACUGUGCCUGCCCUUCUGAGUGACUAUGCAACAUCAUUUUUCGAAGGCGAGAGCUCUGUAUGGUUUCUUUUUUUUUUUUUACUUUUUUUUGGUUGAUGCCAUGGCGACUCCGGUGAUGUUUGAUGCAACACCUUGCAUUCCAUUAUAGCACAAUAACGCACCAUUUCACUGAAUUUAAUUUACACUUGUGGUGAUGUUCUGUA